AUGACGGGUGUGGUAUCUCAUGCUGUCCUGCUCGCCGGCGUCGUCCUCCUGGCGGCGCAGCUGUGCGGGUGCACGGCGUACGUCGGCCGUGGCGACGGGUUUAGCGUCGAGCUCAUCCACCGUGACCACUCCGUCAAGUCGCCGUUCCACGACCCAUCGCUCACCCCGCAUGACCGCAUGCUCGCGGCCGCGCGGCGUUCCACGGGGCGCGCCGCGGCACUCGCACGCUCGUACGCCGCCACCGCCGGCACUGGCUCUCCUGGCGGCGGCGUGGCUGAGGUCAUCUCCAUCCCGCCGUUCGACUUCCUCAUGUACAUCAACAUCGGGUUGCCGCCUACACGGAUGCUCGCCUUCGCCGACACCGGCAGCGAUCUCUUGUGGGUGAAAUGCAGCAGCGACGGCACCGCCGAUCAUCCCGAAGCCGCCCGGCGAGCGCCGCCCAGGGUGGUGUUCAACCCGUCCAAGUCGUCGACGUUCGGCCGCGUGGACUGCCAUUCCGGCACGUGCCACGCGUUCACCGGCACCGGCGUGUCCUGCGACGCAAAGUCCACUGCAAGUACGUCUACUCCUACUCCGACGGCUCGGAGACCAGCGGCGUCCUCUCCACGGAGACCUUGA
rnacentral:rRNA from 1 species